rnacentral:lncRNA from 1 species
UGCAGCAGCCCGGAAAGGCACUGCCCAAACCUCCACUGCAGCGGCCUUGUUGGGCCGCCGCCCUCGCGGCAGUGGGAGUAGACGAAGGAGGCCCUCCCAGUGUUCCCCCCUCUCUCUCUCUCUGUGUGUGUGUUUUCUUCUUUUUCUUCUAGAUCCAUCAUCGAUGGUGAGCCUCUAUCUUGUACUGACCAUGUACUCCGUAUUUGUUGUACCAUGACAAGGCUAGAUCUUGUUGUCUUGAUUUUGGAUUUUUCAGUUUUUUCUUUGAGUUAAGAGCACAGCCAAGAA